rnacentral:rRNA from 1 species
UGGGGAAUCUUGGACAAUGGGGGCAACCCUGAUCCAGCCAUGCCGCGUGAGUGAUGAAGGCCUUAGGGUCGUAAAGCUCUUUCGCCUGUGAAGAUAAUGACGGUAGCAGGUAAAGAAACCCCGGCUAACUCCGUGCCAGCAGCCGCGGUAAUACGGAGGGGGUUAGCGUUGUUCGGAAUUACUGGGCGUAAAGCGCACGUAGGCGGACCAGAAAGUUGGGGGUGAAAUCCCGGGGGCUCAACCCCGGAACUGCCUCCAAAACUAUUGGUCUAGAGUUCGAGAGAGGUGAGUGGAAUUCCAAGUGUAGAGGUGAAAUUCGUAGAUAUUUGGAGGAACACCAGUGGCGAAGGCGGCUCACUGGCUCGAUACUGACGCUGAGGUGCGAAAGUGUGGGGAGCAAACAGGAUUAGAUACCCUGGUAGUCCACACCGUAAAACGAUGAAUGCCAGUCGUCGGGUAGCAUGCUAUUCGGUGACACACCUAACGGAUUAAGCAUUCCGCCUGGGGAGUACGGUCGCAAGA